CUGCUUUGAGAACAAACAGAAUAAAGACUUCAUAUUC
rfam:Camelus ferus unplaced genomic scaffold scaffold597, whole genome shotgun sequence.